UGCCUCUUCUCUCACGAACUCUUUUAGUUCAUGUAUAAUCCAACAGUAGACUAUUGGAUGGUUGUGAAAAAAAUGUCUUUGCUAUAUCAAGCAAACAAUAUGCUAUGGGCUUCAGUUUGUUCUGUCAUUAUUAUCUUUGCUGCUUCUCAAAUAUGGAUCUAUUGGGGUGGUUGUCCUGAUGAUUGUUGGUUAAUAUAUGUGAUGCGGGAGGAUAUGAGAAUGAUCGUUUUAACUCCUGGAACUUCAACUCAAUCGCAUGCAAUAUCAAAAUUCAAAUCACCUAAUUAAAACUCCUCCUAAUUGAAAUUACAAUCCUAAAAUUAAGAAUGUAAUAACAAAAACUAGGGAAACAAAAGUAAAGAAAGGAAGGAUGUUACGGUUUAUCCGAUAAGUAAUCCUAACUCCUUAGCUCAAUCAAAACUUCGACAAACUCAUCUACCUUCAAGAGAAAGAAAGCUAAUUUAGACAGAAGCUCAAAUAAUUAAAGUAAUUGGAAAGGUAGACUCCCAUGCUUGGCCGAUUUUUGCACUCCUUUUUUGGGGUGGUCUUUUAGCUUCAAUCGAUCUCUUAUUCUUCACUCUUGAUUGACUUCUUAAGUUACAACUGAGUGGUAUUCUUACUAGAACUCUCAAGGCUAGAGAUUGAAUUAUCCAAGAAGUCUUCAUCAUACAAAAAUCCUCCUUGCCGGUCUUAUAAUUCCAUUGGGUUUCUUGGCCAAUUUGAAUUUCCAUGCUAUCUCCUUCGGUGUUUGUGUGGAACUUGAAGUCCUCUUUUUCCAGCUUGCUUGCUGCUAUGGGAAUGUAGAAUCCUUCAUGUUUUUGAGUUCCUAAAGGAGGCAGGAUAGGUGAUUCGUCUUUGACACUCAAGUCUCCUUAGGAUUCCCGAAUUCGGAUUGUUUUAGGAUUCCAUUGGUUGUUGUUUUUAAGGGGUCUUCUUCUUGAUUUUCCUCCUCAAAAUCAGAUUGCUCAUCUUCCUCAUCCUCUUUGGAGUCCAAUACUACAAAUUUUCUUCUUCUCUUAUGGCUAGGCUGUUCCCGGCAUGAUGGCGUGCAACUUUGGCCUCAGGGUUGAAAAGCCACACUUGGCCAGCCCUCUUUGGCUUCCUUGAGUUGUGGCCAAGUUGUAUUUGGGCCUUCCUAGGAUGGACUUUGGGCUCAAGGCCCUCUUCCCUUCUCGGCUUGGGCUGUUCAAACCCUCUUUGGGCUGUUCUGGGGUCAUUCGGCCUGUGGGUUGCCUUCUCGGGCUUCUUGGGUUGGCCCGUUGGGCCCUCAUGGGGUUCUCCUUGGUGUUGAAUAUGAUGUGAUAAUAUUGGCAUUGUAUAUCUCAUACUAAUAUAGUUUUUCAUGCAAGAAUGGAACAUAUUAAGAUUAAUCAUCAUUUUCUUCGCAACAAGUUGCAUGAAAACAAUUGCAUGUUGUUAUAAUCUACUCUAAAGAUCAUUUUUACCCAAUCUCUUCCAAAAUCUAUGUUGUCCAAUUUGAGAACAAGCUGCAGUUUUGUUCCAUUUCACGAUCAGCUCAUGUGCGAGUCUGCGCUGGGGUUAUCAAGAAUAUUGUGCAGUAUAAAAUUGAUUAUGUAAUUAUGGCCACAUUCUGAUAAUUCAUUGUAAAUUUUCUUGUAUUUAGUGCUUAAUAAAUAGUUACAUCACAAAAUAUGAUUAUUGAAGAAUGUUUAUGUAUCGUUUUUUUUAUUUGAUGCAUCAUGUCUUUAUGUUUGUAAAACAGUGCGUUUUUUAGCUUGUUUUGUUAUAGCUGUUAUAGGUUGUUAUUUUGUUAUUUUAUUUUUCUGUUACAACCUUUUUGGCUCAUGGUGCAUGACUACAGCAGCAGCUUCUCUCUAUAUAAGAAGCAUGCUGCAGCUGUAUUUAGAGUGAGAAGAUAUUAUGAAAUCAUCUUUCUCUCCAUUUUUCUGGUUUUAAUUUAGCUCAUGGUAUCAGAGAUACACGAUCCAUAGAGGACUUGAAUUGAGAGUUACAUUGAGAGAUAAUGGAUACUGGAGGUUCAAGAUCAAUAUCCGAAGGAAACAGCAGAGAUGCAGUUAUGCAACUUGGGAAUUUUGGGCAAGGAACCAGAUUUGCAGAAAUAGCAAAUUAUUUACAACUACAAUGAUCAGAUAACCCAGGUAUGAUUCUGGUCACCACACCUCUUAAUGGAGAAAACUACUUGACGUGGAGCAGAGCUAUGAAAAUAGCUUGAGGAGCUAAGCAGAAACUGGGUUUUUUGAAUGGAAAAUACAAGAAACCAAAUGAAGAAGAUACAGAUGAGUUUGAACGAUGGAUUAAGAUUGAUUGCAUGGUACAGUCAUGGAUUUUGAAUUCUAUUUCAAGAGAAAUCAUUGAUGCAUUUUUAUACAUUACAUCAGCACAAGAACUCUGGGAACGGCUAGAGGAACGAUUUGAAGUUUGUAAUGGUCCAUUAUUAUAUCAAUUACAAAGAGAGUUUAACUCACUGAUGCAGGGAAAUCAAUCUGUUUCCCAAUAUUUCACUAAGUGAAGAGGCUCUAGUAUGAGCUUCUAUGUUUGAGGCCCUUGCCAUAAUGCACUUGUGGAGCAGCAAAAGAAAUGUCAGAUCAGUACUCAUCUGACAAUUUAACACAGUUUUUUUGGUAGGUCUGAAUGAUAGUUAUGAUGGGGUCAGGAGUCAAAUUUUGAUGAUGGAUCCAUUACCAAAUUUAAACCAGGCAUAUUUGAUAGUGUUGAGAGUAGAAAAACAUAGGGAAGUUCAAGUGAAUUUUGCUGAUAUUACUGAUAAUGCAGCCUUGUUAGUGUAUGGACGUAGAUCUAAGAAUGGGAACAAAUCUGGAAGCGAUGUGCAAAAUCUCAAGAAGCAAAGAGCAAAACCAGAUAUGAGAAGGCAGGACAAAUAUUAUAUUGCUCUUUCUGCAAUUUUACAGGCCACACAAGAGAAACUUGUUUCAAGCUGAAUGGUGUGCCAAAUUGGUACAAGGAACUACAAGAAACAAAAAAGAGGACAGGAGGAAGAAAUGUGGCUUGUAUGGCAGAAACAGCGGCUGAGGCAAAUGAAAAUAAGGAUUCAUUCAUGAACACCGAAUUGGGUGGAAAGGUACAAAGCACGAUUCAAACAGAGAUGAUAAAGUUCAUGAAAGGGAAAAGUUCUACAGAAGGUACUGUGCUGAACAUGGCUCAUUUCACUGAUUUUGCAGGACCUUCAGACUAAUGAACUGAUGGCAGUGGGAAAGGUGGUCAGCGGAUUAUACAUCUUGGAUUCAACUUCAUUCAAACCAGGCCUCUUGUCUCAUUACACAAACUUUCUCAGACACCAACACACACCAACAAAGUCUUUGCCUCACAUUGUAAUAACUUCAUUGCUGUUUGUUCCAGUGAUGAAAUUUCUACUCAGAAUCUUGUUCUUUGGCAUCAACCACUUGGACAUAUAUCUCCUGCUGUUAUGACUCAUUUACCUUUCUUGUCUCACAAAAAUGAUUUGCAUUUACCUGUUUGUGAUGUGUGUCCGUUAGCCAAACAGCAACGUAUAAGUUUUCAUAAAAGUGUUUCACAUGCUUUCAAGAUAUUUGAAUUAUUGCACAUUGAUGUUUGGGGA